CUCUCAGGCCGUAUCAGCCUGAAGGCGCCCGAUCUCUUCUGAUCUCGGAAGCUAAGCAGGGUCGGGCCUGGUUAGGAUCUUGGAUGGGAGACCACCUGGGAAUCCCGGGUGCUCUAGGCU
rnacentral:rRNA from 1 species